UAGGGAAUCUUCCGCAAUGGGCGAAAGCCUGACGGAGCAACGCCGCGUGAGUGAUGAAGGUCUUCGGAUCGUAAAACUCUGUUAUUAGGGAAGAACAAAUGUGUAAGUAACUAUGCACGUCUUGACGGUACCUAAUCAGAAAGCCACGGCUAACUACGUGCCAGCAGCCGCGGUAAUACGUAGGUGGCAAGCGUUAUCCGGAAUUAUUGGGCGUAAAGCGAGCGUAGGCGGUUUUUUAAGUCUGAUGUGAAAGCCCACGGCUCAACCGUGGAGGGUCAUUGGAAACUGGAAAACUUGAGUGCAGAAGAGGAAAGUGGAAUUCCAUGUGUAGCGGUGAAAUGCGCAGAGAUAUGGAGGAACACCAGUGGCGAAGGCGACUUUCUGGUCUGUAACUGACGCUGAUGUGCGAAAGCGUGGGGAUCAAACAGG
rnacentral:rRNA from 1 species